rnacentral:pre_miRNA from 1 species
AGCCUUCUGUAUUCAUGCUGAGAUUUCGUCACACACCAGACCACAAGGGCUGAUGAA